rnacentral:rRNA from 1 species
GACGAACGCUGGCGGCGUGCUUAACACAUGCAAGUCGAGCGGUAAGGCCCUUCGGGGGUACACGAGCGGCGAACGGGUGAGUAACACGUGGGUGACCUGCCCUCAGCUCUGGGAUAAGCCUGGGAAACCGGGUCUAAUACUGGAUAUGACUCCAUGACGCAUGUUGUGGGGUGGAAAGCCUUGUGCGGCUGAGGAGUGGGCCCGCGGCCUAUCAGCUUGUUGGUGGGGUGAUGG